rnacentral:rRNA from 1 species
UACAGAGGGUGCGAGCGUUGUUCGGAAUUACUGGGCGUAAAGCGCGCGCAGGCGGCCCUUUAAGUCCGUCGGUCAAAUGCCGGGGCUCAACCCCGAGCGUGCCGAGGAUACUGGAGGGCUGGAGACACGUAGAGGCAAGCGGAAUUCCGGGUGUAGCGGUGGAAUGCGUAGAGAUCCGGAAGAACACCGGUGGCGAAGGCGGUUCUCUGGGCAGUACCUGACGCUGAGGAGCGAAAGUGUGGGGAGCGAACAGG